UGGGGUUUAUACAUAUAAUAUAUAGAUGGAUGAUGCGGUGAACGAAUGAAUUGUUAGGAAGAUACUUUUUUUCUAAAGUUUUGUAUCAUAUUACAAACACAGUUAAGGUAUUUUUCUAUAUCAUAAUUACGAACGGCAUGUUUUUGUUUUCUCGCUAAAUCCUUUAAAAUGAGAUUUAAUGAAAUGAUGACCUAAACCUCUUCGGAAUAUUAGCUUAAGCAAUGGGCCAGUAGGCUACGACAAGCAGUAGUCUAUAUGACUAUGAGUAGACCUUCAUCAAUGGAAGAAAACACAGAGUCGAGAUUGCAAAUUCAAAAGUUAAGCCACCACUCGUUGUCUCGUCGUUUUUCAUCGUGGGGACGUUCCUCAUCCACCGAAUGCUUACCUGGGGAAUCAAAACCCCAGAAGCAGUCAGUGAAAACACCAAAUGAUCAAGACUGGGAAGAUCGUGGUUGCUUUUUACCACAAGCUUGCGAAACACCGAAACAUGUUAUUGAAAUGAAAAGAGGCUCGGAUCUUGAAGAUGUGACCACGAUGUUUAGCAGAUCUUUUGAAAUAGCUGAACAUUACCACCAGAGGUGUAGCGUUGACAGUGGACAUGCCAGUUUGGACAGUGAGAUGUCUCCCGAUGCUCUUAGAAACAUCACUUAUGCACUUGAUGAAAACGGGGCUUCGGAACAGUUAAGACAUUGUAUGCAACUGUAUUCUUCCUCCAAGAGCUUUUCCCCAGGUAUGACAUCCCGCACUCACAGGUCUUGUAGUGCUGACUCAGCCAUCGUACAGGGCAACGUAGAUGUUACGUGUUUGACUCCAUCUUUUGAAACCCAGAUUACAUCGGAGGACGAGGAACAGAAUCAGGAGACAAUACACAGAAAACGAUCGCUGACUAUUAUUCAGUCUGUUUCUUGCCCAGUGCUUGCAAUGCCUUCGGUCGUAAUAAGUGACCACAGUAAUUUCACUGACCAAAAUAUUCAAAUGGGUGAGUUCAUGAAACCUUCUCAGGAUUAUCUUCAGGUCACGCUGGAUGACAUUGCUGGACAUAUACCUUUGAGUCGACGGUUGUCAACUUCUAGCUCGUGUUCAUUUAUGUCUAGUCUUUCUUCCGUGUCAUGGGACGAUGAUGCUUGUCAAAGUGACGUCAGUGAAUCUUCGGUAGCCAGUAACUCCAAGCGAUUAGGAUGGAAGAAAGUCCGAAAUGCUGUACACUGGUGUCCAUUUCUUCAGACUUACAGAAAACAAAAGUAUCCUUGGGUUCAGUUGGCUGGUCAUCAAGGUAAUUUUAGAGUUGGAGAGCAAGGGACUAUAUUAAAGAAAUUGUGUGGAAGAGAAGAGAUUUGUUUGAAGAAGUUGAUGAAUGAUGCACUAAAGCCUUUUGUACCUGAAUUCAAAGGAAGAGUUGAAACUGAAGAAGGAGAAAUUUACUUAGAACUCCAAGAUCUUCUGGCUGGAUUUGAUAGAGCUUGUGUUAUGGAUGUUAAAAUUGGACUUCGCACAUAUUUAGAGGAAGAACUUGCUAAAGCAAAGGAGGAGCUAAAAUUAAGAAAAGAUAUGUAUGAGAAAAUGGUUCAGAUUGAUCCGUCUGAACCAACAGAAGAAGAACGGAGUUUAAAGGCAAUAACAAAGCCUCGUUACAUGGUGUGGCGAGAAUCUAUCAGUUCAACGGCAACACUUGGUUUCAGAGUGGAGGGAAUUAAGAGAGCUGAUGGCUCUUCCAGCAAGGAUUUCAAGAAAACCAAAACUAAAGAUCAAGUUUUAGCAGCCUUGAGAACUUUUACACAUGGUUAUCCUAAUGCUGUGAAGACAUACUUGAACCGUUUAAUGGAUAUUAACAGUGUUUUGGAAACUUCUGAAUUCUUUGCAAGUCAUGAGGUAUUUGCAGUCACCAUCUAAUGCAUGAAGUUUUCAGAAAAGGGUCAGAAGCUGUAGACUUGGUUGUAGAUGGAAUUCUGUAGGCAUGCUGGUUACUGGAAGAUACCCCAGCUUAUUAGGAGUUACUGGUCCACAGAUGUUUCAAAAAAUGUAUUUUAGAUGAAUAUAGAAUAUUCCCAUAACUGAAAUGUGCUGUAGAAAUGCUUCCCAAAAUGAAACAGUAUGUUGAAGUGAUUCAAAAGGACACAAACUGUACGUUGCUGAAAGCAAAAUGAUUUGAAAUAGUCAAAGAAGGAUGCAAUAAUGUAGCGACUUUACUAAGACUCUCUUUUACAUCUCUGUUAUGAAGCAGUUUAAGUAAUUUCUGAUGGAAUAUCAAACUGUUUUAUCAUUUCUCCCCACUGACUCGAUACAUCAAAAAUGACCUUUUCAAGGCUGUACACAGUAUAUUAGAACUGCUGUACAUUGAUACCAUCAAUGAAGGCUCACACAAAAACUUCAAAAAUAUUAAUGUUUGUGAUUGAGUUCAAUAUGAAUAUAAAGUGGCAAAGUUACUUGUGAAGUUACCAUUCAAGCAUCCACUUUGCCCAUUGUGUCAUGUCCUGACUAUUUCCAUGGCUAAGACAUCAGAUUAAUGCCAAAAAAACUUUAAUCAUGUCUUAAGCAAACUUGCUUUCAGCUAAAGAGUUAAAAAAAACUUGAUAGGAAUAUCUUUCAGUGUGGAUAGAAGAUAUUCAUAGCAGAAAUAGUUAGUGCUAAUGAAAGAUAGUUAUUUGACUUCAAAUUAUUGGAAAAUGUGAGACAUUACGUGGAUAACAAAAAGAAUGUGAGAAGUCACAGUGCUUGUCUUGAUACUUUCUCUUGAUCAGACUUCUAUAGAGCAAAGCUUCUCAAUAAAGAAAAAAACUUGUAAUGCACAGAGUUAUGUAUGAACAUAUAUCAAAUACUGGUUUUAUGAUAAAUGUUGCUAUCAUGAAAGAUAUGUUGACUUAUGCCCAGGGGAACAUGCUAGAAAUAUGCACAACACUUAGAGAAGAAAAAUUAUGGUGGCAAGUGAAUUCUUCAAAAUGAAGAAAUUGCUAGAUGAAACUGAUUAAAUCAAAGAAGAGAGAAAUUGAGGAAGAUAUCAAUUACUUGCUUGAAUCAAAUAAUGUGGGUUAAACAUGGCCCAAUAGUUAGUGUGCCAGACUGUGAAUUUGUGAAUUCAUUGUUUGCAUCCAGUUACCAUGAGAAAAAUUAUGCAUUGUAAGGAUAACAGUAAAUCCCACUGUUUGGUGAGGCAAGAACUGCCAAAGAGGUGAUUGUAGUUGCUAUUUUGUAACUGCCAUCCCUCUAGUCUAUCAGUUUAUAAUUAUGGAAGGCUAGCAGAGAUAGCCCUUGAGUUGUUUAUGCAAGUAUCCUAAACAAACAAACAAACAAACAAGAACAACCAUCAGCCGAUGAAAUGGCUGAGAAAGUUGAGAAUAGCACUGAACUUAUAUUACUGACAAAAUCAAGUAGAUAUAAUAAAACAGCCAAAGAUAAACAGAAGUGUAUUAGUAAGCUAAGCUCAAAAACUAAUUGAAAAUGGAAAAAUAUGCUUAUCAUUCUUGUCAAUAACUUGUUAAACAAAAUAACUUCCAUAUUCUGCACUUACUUGAUAAAUCUGUCGGUGUUAUUAAUCAAGUUAUUGGAAAGCUUGUUUGAAUAUUCUGGAGAGUGUGUGACUGUAUAACAAAGCUUUAGCUUUGUAGCAUGUAUUAAUGGAAAUUUAUGGUAGCCAAGUUGCAUGAACCCUAUAAUGAAUAACUAGACCACUAUGACCCGAUGGAUCAACCAUUAUUCAGAGGUUAUGAAGAAUUCAAGCUAAUUUCAAUAUUGCACCGAGAUGAAGGUUUAUUUUGAGGUCACUGGUUAGGCCACAUUUCAAAUAUUGCAUUCAGUCUUGGACUCUUUACCUUAUGAAAGACAUUGAACUGUUGGAAAGGGUUUGGAGGAGAUCUACUAGGGAGGUACCUGGGAUGAUGAUUCAACUUUCACAAGCCCAUGUGAAAAUUCAGAACCAUUGCUGCUUGUGCUAUUAUCUAUACCCAUCUGUGAAGCUGAUCAACUUAAGUGUUAAUAGCAGAAUGUAACUUGAUGAAGUCAUUAGCUUUUGUAUAUACUAAGUAAACUGUUACACAUUUUCAAGGAUAUACUCAAAUUCGAUUAUAAUUUCCAAUACUGAUAUAAUUAACCUGUGUUGUGAAAAUUGGUGGUAUAAAGGCUACAUUACUAAAAA